CUCUUCUAGAGCGGUUAUCAUGAGUCAUUCAUGUGAAUAUAACCAUUUUGAUGUUGCAUCACCAGGGACAGCAUAUGGCACCCAGUUUCCUUGUCCUGCGGGCACCUACAGCAUCCAAAUGGGCAACAGAUACAGAGAAGACUGCCUGCUUUGUCCUGAAGGCUCAUCCUGUCAACAGGGCACCUCCAAACCUUCACCGUGCCCACCCUCUACAUUUCGCCGUCUGAAAGGAGGUCGAAGGCUGGAGGACUGCUCUGCUUGUCCUGCUGGCUAUUUUUGUCCCCACUCAGCCACUGUCAACCCAAGAGUGUGUGGAGCUGGCAGCUACUCUGACGAGGGCUCUUUGGAGUGUUCUCCAUGCCUGCAGGGCCACUACUGCAGUGAUGAGACCACUAGUGAGGAAGCCAUGUUGAGCGUCAUGGUGUGCCCCCCAGGCUUCCUCUGCUCUCAGGGUUUGGCAAGAGAGCCCCAGCGCUCAGCCACACUCUGUCCUCGAGGCUUCUACUGCCCCGGAGGAGGCAUUGAUCCCAACCCCAUUCCUUGCCCCAAUGGUACCUACAGUGAACUUCCUGGUCUGCGUGAUGCCAGCGAGUGUGUCCAAUGCCCUGAGGGGAAGUACUGUUACUCCCAGCAGCCUCAGGAACAGCCUAUUACCAGCCCUGUAAGAUCCAAAUAAUGUGCAGGAUUUAAGAUGAACAUAUAUAGUCAAGGAUCUUAUUAGAGUUUUUUCUACUUACACUUUUUGUGACAUAAUUAUUUUGUAUGCUGUGAUAUUUCAGACAGGGGUGUGUCCUUAUGGCCACUAUUGCCCCCUAGGAACUGGCUACCCCUACACCUACCCCUGUCAGGCUGGCCAAUAUAGGAACAACACACUUGGUCACAGUGGAGAGGCGUGUGUGUCAUGUCCAUCCAGGCAUUACUGUGACAGACUGGGGACUCACAUGCCACUAGUCUGUCCUCAGGUAGGAAUAUCUGGAAAACUGUGUUGUUCCACUGAUGAGUAGCCUGCCUUCAAGAAUGCAUGAAAUCUCUUUCUCUCUGUCCGUCAUUCUAUUAACAGGGCUUUUACUGUCCAGAAGGCACUUCUACUCCUGAACCGUGUCCUGAGGGAACCUACAGUUCACGCUCAGCUCUCAGUGAUGGGUCUGAGUGCGCCCCUUGUGGUGGAGGCCAGUAUUGCUCUGGUGUGGGACUCACAGAGCCCUCUGGAAGCUGCAAAGAGCGCUUCUACUGUAGAGAGGGAGCCAAGUCUUCAGUAUGAAAAUUAUAUAUUUGGAUAAUUUAUUAAAUAGAAGUUUUUUGUCAUUCAUUCUUUCUUCUUUUCUUUAUAUGUUUUUAUCCCCAAAAAGUGGUUGCUAUUCUUCCUGAGGUCCACAGAUACAUUCAGUGAAAUUCAUAAUAACAUCCAAAUACUUUAUAUUCUUAAGAAGCGAUACCGCAAAAAGAUAAAAAAAAACUUUAAAUGUCAGUGACUCACUUACAUUACACUUGUUUACACGGUGGUGUGGUGAUGACUUAUUAUGAACCAUUACACUGUUAUGUAUUACAUUGUAUUACUUUAGUAAUUAAAUUACUUCACUACAGUACAUUCUGGCUUCUCUUCAUGUACUGUAACUGUGUCCAGACUCCUGUGGAUGGGUCAACGGGAGGUUUGUGUCCAGCAGGAAGUUACUGUCCUCAAGCUUCGUCCUCUCCCUUCCCCUGUCCCCCUGGCACCUUUAGCAACAGCACUGGCCUCAGCAGACCUGAGGAGUGUGUCAGCUGUCCACCGGGGUAAUGCCACUCAGAUAUCAGCCUAUUUAUUUAAGAGGACCAUGUAAAAUAGAACCCUCUAUACUUUGUGUCAACUCUCCCUGUUCUCCCUGUCAGUUUUUAUUGCUUAGGCUCCAACAACACCUUACCUUCAGGCCCUUGUUUUCCUGGUUUCUACUGUACCGGUGGCUCAGCAUCGCCCAUUCAGAAUGAAGCACAGGAGGGUUAUUAUACCUUGGAGGGGGCAGCCAGCGCACAACCAUGCCCUCUGGGCACUUUUCAGCCGGUAGGAAAUAAUCCACAAAGAAUAAUACGUGUAUCUCUACUGAAAGUGUGCUGUUAAAAUUAAAUAAUGAAAUAAAGUCAUGUUCAAGGUUGUUCCCUUGUCUAUAAAUCCUCCACAGCAUCGAGGUGCACAAUUAUGUGUGGAAUGUCAGGGAGGCAGAAUGUGUAACCAGACAGGCUUGUCCCAGUCACUACUGUGUCCCACAGGACACUUCUGUCCUCCAGGGUCCUCUCUUGCUCAACCCUGUCCUCCAGUAAGUAUUCUUGUGUUAGUAUGUAUGUAGUGUGGUGUGAAUGUCAAUCCAGC
ensembl:lncRNA